GACAGAGGGUGCAAACGUUGUUCGGAAUUACUGGGCGUAAAGCGCGUGUAGGCGGCCAUCUAAGUCGGGCGUGAAAUCCCUCGGCUUAACCGGGGAACUGCGUCUGAUACUGGAUGGCUUGAGGUUGGGAGAGGGAUGCGGAAUUCCAGGUGUAGCGGUGAAAUGCGUAGAUAUCUGGAGGAACACCGGUGGCGAAGGCGGCAUCCUGGACCAAUUCUGACGCUGAGGAGCGAAAGCCAGGGGAGCAAACGGG
rnacentral:rRNA from 1 species